rnacentral:rRNA from 1 species
CACGUAGGGGGCAAGCGUUGUCCGGAUUUACUGGGCGUAAAGCGCGUGUAGGCAGCUUUGCAAGUCGGAUGUGAAAGCCCACGGCUCAACCGUGGAAGUGCAUCCGAAACUGCAUGGCUUGAGUCUCGGAGAGGAAGGUGGAAUGCUUGGUGUAGAGGUGAAAUUCGUAGAUAUCAAGCAGAACACCUGCGGCGAAGGCGGCCUUCUGGACGAUGACUGACGCUGAGACGCGAAAGCGUGGGGAGCAAACAGG